GAAAUGCGAUAAGUAAUGUGAAUUGCAGAAUUCAGUGAAUCAUCGAAUCUUUGAACGCACAUUGCGCCCGCCAGUAUUCUGGCGGGCAUGCCUGUUCGAGCGUCAUUACAACCCUCAGGCCCCCGGGCCUGGCGUUGGGGAUCGGCGGAAGCCCCCUGCGGGCACAACGCCGUCCCCCAAAUACAGUGGCGGUCCCGCCGCAGCUUCCAUUGCGUAGUAGCUAACACCUCGCAACUGGAGAGCGGCGCGGCCACGCCGUAAAACACCCAACUUCUGAAUGUUGACCUCGAAUCAGGUAGGGAUACCCGCUGAACUUAAGC
rnacentral:misc_RNA from 1 species